ACAUGCAAGUCGAGGGGCAGCAUUUACUUCGGUAAAUGGCGACCGGCGCACGGGUGAGUAACGCGUAUGCAACCUACCUUUAACUGGGGCAUAGCUCGAGGAAACUCGAAUUAAUUCCCCAUAGUACAAUAUAAUAUCGCAUGAUAUAAUUGUUAAAGAUUUAUCGGUUAAAGAUGGGCAUGCGUCUGAUUAGCUUGUUGGUAAGGUAACGGCUUACCAAGGCAACGAUCAGUAGGGGGUCUGAGAGGAUGAUCCCCCACACUGGUACUGAGACACGGACCAGACGUCUACGGACGGCAGCAGUAAGGAAUAUUGGGCAAUGGGCGCAAGCCUGACCCAGCCAUGCCGCGUGCAGGAUGACGACCCUAUGGGUUGUAAACUGCUUUUAUAUAGGAAGAAAAUACUCUUGCGAGAGGAUCUGACGGUACUAUAUGAAUAAGGACCGGCUAACUCCGUGCCAGCAGCCGCGGUAAUACGGAGGGUUCAAGCGUUUUCCGGAUUUAUUGGGUUUAAAGGGUGCGUAGGUGGUUUAUUAAGUCAGUGGUGAAAUCCUGCAGCUCAACUGUAGAACUGCCAUUGAUACUGGUAAACUUGAGUUUGGUUUAGGUAAGCGGAAUUUAUGAUGUAGCGGUGAAAUGCAUAGAUAUCAUAAGGAACACCAAUAGCGAAGGCAGCUUACUGGACCAUAACUGACACUGAGGCACGAAAGCGUGGGUAGCGAACAGGAUUAGAUACCCUGGUAGUCCACGCCGUAAACGAUGCUCACUCGAUGUUAGCGAUAUACUGUUAGCGUCCAAGCUAAAGCGUUAAGUGAGCCACCUGGGGAGUACGCCG
rnacentral:rRNA from 1 species